GAUGAACGCUAGCUACAGGCUUAACACAUGCAAGUCGAGGGGCAGCAUGUCGGUUGCUUGCAACCGAUGAUGGCGACCGGCGCACGGGUGAGUAACGCGUAUCCAACCUACCCUUGUCCAUCGGAUAACCCGUCGAAAGGCGGCCUAACACGAUAUGCGGUUCUCAGCAGGCAUCUAACGAGAACGAAAUGUGAAGGAGAAGGAUGGGGAUGCGUCUGAUUAGCUUGUUGGCGGGGUAACGGCCCACCAAGGCUACGAUCAGUAGGGGUUCUGAGAGGAAGGUCCCCCACAUUGGAACUGAGACACGGUCCAAACUCCUACGGGAGGCAGCAGUGAGGAAUAUUGGUCAAUGGACGGGAGUCUGAACCAGCCAAGUAGCGUGCAGGACGACGGCCCUAUGGGUUGUAAACUGCUUUUAUAGGGGGAUAAAGUGUGCCACGUGUGGCAUAUUGCAGGUACCCUAUGAAUAAGGACCGGCUAAUUCCGUGCCAGCAGCCGCGGUAAUACGGAAGGUCCGGGCGUUAUCCGGAUUUAUUGGGUUUAAAGGGAGCGUAGGCCGUCUUAUAAGCGUGUUGUGAAAUGUCGGGGCUCAACCUGGGCAUUGCAGCGCGAACUGUGAGACUUGAGUGCGCAGGAAGUAGGCGGAAUUCGUCGUGUAGCGGUGAAAUGCUUAGAUAUGACGAAGAACUCCGAUUGCGAAGGCAGCCUGCUGUAGCGCAACUGACGCUGAAGCUCGAAAGCGUGGGUAUCGAACAGG
rnacentral:rRNA from 1 species